AAAAAGACAAACUCUUUUCCGUGCCUAACAUUUGACCGUCCGUCUUAUUUGAAAAAAUUAUAAAAAAAAUUAAAAAAACAAGUCACGCAUAAAAUAUUAAUCUUGUUUUAUCAUCUAACAACAAUGAAAAUCCGAAUUAUAAAAAAAAUUCAUAUAAGAUGAACAGUCAAAGUUGGACACGGAAACCCAUGAUUUAUCUUUUU
rfam:Oryza sativa (indica cultivar-group) chromosome 12, whole genome shotgun sequence.